GAUGAAGAACGUAGCGAAAUGCGAUAAGUAAUGUGAAUUGCAGAAUUCAGUGAAUCAUCGAAUCUUUGAACGCACAUUGCGCCCGCCAGUAUUCUGGCGGGCAUGCCUGUUCGAGCGUCAUUACAACCCUCAGGCCCCCGGGCCUGGCGUUGGGGAUCGGCGGAGCCCCCCGUGGGCACACGCCGUCCCCCAAAUGCAGUGGCGGUCCCGCCGCAGCUUCCAUCGCGUAGUAGCUAACACCUCGCGACUGGAGAGCGGCGCGGCCACGCCGUAAAACACCCUACUCUUCUGAAGUUGACCUCGAAUCAGGUAGGAAUACCCGCUGAUCUUUAGCAUAUCAAUAAGCGGAGGA
rnacentral:misc_RNA from 1 species